AGAGUGAACGCUGGCGGCAGGCCUAACACAUGCAAGUCGAGCGGCAGCGCGGGGGCAACCCUGGCGGCGAGCGGCGGACGGGUGAGGAAUACAUCGGAAUCUACCUUGUUGUGGGGGAUAACGUAGGGAAACUUACGCUAAUACCGCAUAAGACCUGAGGGUGAAAGCGGGGGACCGCAAGGCCUCGCGCGACAAGAUGAGCCGAUGUCCGAUUAGCUAGUUGGUGAGGUAAAGGCUCACCAAGGCGACGAUCGGUAGCUGGUCUGAGAGGAUGAUCAGCCACACUGGAACUGAGACACGGUCCAGACUCCUACGGGAGCAGCAGGUGGGGAAUAGUUGGACAAGUGGGCGCAAGCCUGAUCCAGCCAUGCCGCGUGUGUGAAGAGGUCCGUUGGUAGUAAGCUAC
rnacentral:rRNA from 1 species